UACGUAGGGUGCGAGCGUUGUCCGGAAUUAUUGGGCGUAAAGAGCUCGUAGGCGGCCUGUCGCGUCGGAUGUGAAAGCCCGGGGCUUAACCCCGGGUCUGCAUUCGAUACGGGCAGGCUAGAGUGUGGUAGGGGAGAUCGAAUUCCUGGUGUAGCGGUGAAAAUGCGCAGAUAUCAGGAGGAACACCGGUGGCGAAGGCGGAUCUCUGGGCCAUUACUGACGCUGAGGAGCGAAAGCGUGGGGAGCGAACAGG
rnacentral:rRNA from 1 species